UCUGCCGCGAUGCCUCCGCCUCGCCCCCGUCCAACUUCUGUCGCGCGGCCGCCGUCUGGCCCUGCCCCCCGUCCACCUUCUACUGCGCCGCCACCGCCCAAAAUCCCGGCCAUCCCGCGCUGCGCACCGCCGACACCUUCCUUCCUAAUUUGCCCCGCCACCGGCCUGGGCUCGCUUCGCACCUGCCCUGCAUCUCCGGUGCCUUCGCCGCAGGUGGAUUCCACCCCCUUACCCGGAUCCGCCACCCAUCCACGAUCCGGAUCGAGCCUCUGCCACGGGUGAACCCCAUCCUCCUCCCAUGGGUGAACCCCAUCGAGGUGGCCUCCAAGGCCCUGGCCCUGGCCCCUAGCCGUCCUCCCGCAGCUGCCCGGCGUUAGAUCUGUGUGUCACCGUCCCGGGGGCGUCCUCUCCGUCCCGGGUCACCGGCGACUCUUCCCUCUCCUCCCCGUUCUUCCACCUCCUCCCUUCCAUCCCUGGCCACUACAGAGCGUCCCGGGUCAACAGCCACCGCGUUGCCAUUCGCCUGCCUAGCCUCUCUCUGGCUCUCCACCGUCAACGGGUGGGCGACAAAAAAAUUGCAGGCGCGCAGGCUGCAUCUGACGGCCGUCGAUGGUCACAUGUCGGACGAGCCCAACCGUGCAAUACGCCAGAACAGGUUGUGCAGUACUUUUUGAAAAUUUCUGUAGUUUAUUUGUUAUAGAUGCGCGAUUCACUUCUUCAGCCACCUCUUUCUUGCUGUUCACUUGUCAGGAUAGAGAAGUACGAUGGUGUGAACUACUUCGAUGGGAGCAGCAGGGGAGUCGAGUUGGCUUGAUCGAAGAUGAGGUUCGGCUGGUUUGUGUAUGCUGGUCAGGGUCUCUUGUACAUGCAGCUCACAGCGUGAUGUUCGUUCAGUUCAUUGGCAAGCGGUUCUGUAUCACGGGCGCGCAGCUCACCAUCGUCAGGCUCGCAGCUUCAUUUGUUGCUGGCAGGGUCGACGCAACUGGACCCAGGACAUACGGCUUUGAUUUAUUUUUCAUUUUGUUUUGAGUGGGUUUUAUGUAAAUUUAUAGGGAUGUGUUUGGUAAGUUUUAAAAACUACUAUUCGAGUUCUCCUUUGUUGCUCGGGAAAAAAAGAACUUUACUUUCAGGGUACGCACGGUGGCAGAGAACUUUGGUUUGCAGCUCACUUCGGUUUCCCCUAGCAGCUCA